CAGCCGCCGCGGUAACACGAAGGGUGCAAGCGUUACUCGGAAUUACUGGGCGUAAAGCGUGCGUAGGUGGUGGUUUAAGUCCGUUGUGAAAGCCCUGGGCUCAACCUGGGAAUUGCAGUGGAUACUGGGUCACUAGAGUGUGGUAGAGGAUAGUGGAAUUUCCGGUGUAGCAGUGAAAUGCGUAGAGAUCGGAAGGAACAUCUGUGGCGAAGGCGACUAUCUGGGCCAACACUGACACUGAGGCACGAAAGCGUGGGGAGCAAACAGGAUUAGAUACCCCCGUAGUCCCUGUCUCUUAUAC
rnacentral:rRNA from 1 species